UUUAUGGAGAGUUUGAUCCUGGCUCAGGAUGAACGCUGGCGGCGUGCCUAAUACAUGCAAGUCGAGCGAACGGACGAGAAGCUUGCUUCUCUGAUGUUAGCGGCGGACGGGUGAGUAACACGUGGAUAACCUACCUAUAAGACUGGGAUAACUUCGGGAAACCGGAGCUAAUACCGGAUAAUAUUUUGAACCGCAUGGUUCAAAAGUGAAAGACGGUCUUGCUGUCACUUAUAGAUGGAUCCGCGCUGCAUUAGCUAGUUGGUAAGGCAACGGCUUACCAAGGCAACGAUGCAUAGCCGACCU
rnacentral:rRNA from 1 species